rnacentral:rRNA from 1 species
GUAGGGAAUCUUCCGCAAUGGACGAAAGUCUGACGGAGCAAUGCCGCGUGAGUGACGAAGGUUUUCGGAUCGUAAAACUCUGUUGUAAGGGAAGAACAAGUACCAAGUAACUACUGGUACCUUGACGGUACCUUACCAGAAAGCCACGGCUAACUACGUGCCAGCAGCCGCGGUAAUACGUAGGUGGCAAGCGUUGUCCGGAAUUAUUGGGCGUAAAGCGCGCGCAGGCGGUCCCUUAAGUCUGAUGUGAAAGCCCACGGCUCAACCGUGGAGGGUCAUUGGAAACUGGGGGACUUGAGUGCAGAAGAGGAAAGUGGAAUUCCAUGUGUAGCGGUGAAAUGCGUAGAGAUGUGGAGGAACACCAGUGGCGAAGGCGACUUUCUGGUCUGUAACUGACGCUGAGGCGCGAAAGCGUGGGGAGCAAACAGGAUUAGAAACCCCGGUAGUCC